AUUGGCCACAACGUGUCUCCUCAUUGGCCACGACCUUCUAGGGAGGGGCAGAGAUAGGCGGAGAAAGGAAGUGAUAACAGAUUUAAGCCAAGUUUGAACAGCUGCCUCUGUUUGCUAGUACUGUGAGAAAACGUCGUCACCGAAGAGGUCCGAAGAGUUUAAAACGAACUCUGAACUCUGUUCUUUGUCGAACUCGAGUGAGACUGAACGCUGAACACACCUGCGGCAUGAAGGUUUACUUGUUCAGCUGCUGCAACCUGGACAGAAACACCAGCUCUCACCUUACAGACCAAACAGGUGUCACCAUUUUGUCCACGAUCGCAGAGAGGCUUUGUGCAAUGAAGAAGUUCUUUGAAACCAGGACUUAGACCUCCAGGAUUUAAACUUCAACCAUUAAAUCACAGAGAGAAGAGACAGACGUGAAGACAUUUCCAGAAG